AUUGAACGCUGGCGGCAGGCCUAACACAUGCAGGUCGAGCGGAUGAAGGGAGCUUGCUCCUGGAUUCAGCGGCGGACGGGUGAGUAAUGCCUAGGAAUCUGCCUGGUAGUGGGGGAUAACGUCCGGAAACGGGCGCUAAUACCGCAUACGUCCUGAGGGAGAAAGUGGGGGAUCUUCGGACCUCACGCUAUCAGAUGAGCCUAGGUCGGAUUAGCUAGUUGGUGGGGUAAAGGCCUACCAAGGCGACGAUCCGUAACUGGUCUGAGAGGAUGAUCAGUCACACUGGAACUGAGACACGGUCCAGACUCCUACGGGAGGCAGCAGUGGGGAAUAUUGGACAAUGGGCGAAAGCCUGAUCCAGCCAUGCCGCGUGUGUGAAGAAGGUCUUCGGAUUGUAAAGCACUUUAAGUUGGGAGGAAGGGCAGUAAGUUAAUACCUUGCUGUUUUGACGUUACCAACAGAAUAAGCACCGGCUAACUUCG
rnacentral:rRNA from 1 species